rnacentral:lncRNA from 1 species
UCACGGUUACCGGGGCGACAGGGGCCUCAUUUGCAUAGACCUCCUUGAUUGGCUAAGGGAGAGCAGGGUCUUUGGGAGGUGGGGCAAAAGCCUUUCCUUCUCUCCCACGGAAAGCCACGCCUUGUCCAAGCUCCGCCCGGUCCCCGCCCGCACGCCGGGCGGGGGCUGCUGACCUGGGCAGGCGCUCAGCGCCCCGCAGACUCAGUGUCAAUCCGGUCUGGAGCGCAAGUUUCGCUUUUAGAAAUUGUCAAGGUGACCAAGGGGACACUUGCGGGAAUUCUCUUUCCUUUGGCCAGUCAGUGUAAUAGAUGAGCAAAAUCUGGAGAUUCUCCCAAAUAUGUUCCAAAGGCAAGUUGGACCACGCGGACGAUGCCUGGCAGGUUUCUAAUCCGCCAAGCAGUAAUCCGAAGAAGUACACGCUUCCCACGAUGACGUCUUGCUCCCAGCAAACGCUGCACGCCCAGGCACCACCAAGCGCUUUACAAUCUCGGUUUCCUACCAAGUUCUCUGACUAAAAGCAAACGCAACGACACAGACCUAUUCGGAAACAUUUUAAAAGAUUUUUCUUUUUCUUCUCUUUCUCUUUCUUUUUUUUUUCUUUUUCUUUUCUUUCUUUCUUUUUUUUUUUUUUUUUAGUAAACUAGAAUUUGUCACCAGAAGUCUAUUAAGUUACUGUCAAACGGACUUCUGUACUGAUGCCAACUAUUCGUGGGUCUUAAAAUUGAAGACUGCUUCUGUGAGACAGGACAGGAAAAGGAACGCCUGCAGGAUUGUGGGGAAAGGUGUACCCGUCAGUUAGUCAUCGUUUACGAUUCCAGUCGCUGAGAAUUGUACAAAAUAGCUGCUAAGCUGGCGUUCAGGGGGUGAUGAGGGUCGGGAUCCUUAAAGCCCAUAUGCAA